rnacentral:rRNA from 1 species
ACGCUGGCGGUAUGCUUAACACAUGCAAGUCGAACGGGAUGCUUAGGCAUCUAGUGGCGGACGGGUGAGUAACGCGUGAGAAUCUGGCUCCAGGUCGGGGAUAACAGUUGGAAACGACUGCUAAUACCGGAUGUGCCGAGAGGUGAAAGAUUUAUCGCCUGGAGAUGAGCUCGCGUCUGAUUAGCUAGUUGGCGGUGUAAGGGACCACCAAGGCAUCGAUCAGUAGCUGGUCUGAGAGGAUGAUCAGCCACACUGGGACUGAGACACGGCCCAGACUCCUACGGGAGGCAGCAGUGGGGAAUUUUCCGCAAUGGGCGAAAGCCUGACGGAGCAAUACCGCGUGAGGGAGGAAGGCUCUUGGGUCGUAAACCUCUUUUCUCAAGGAAGAAGAAAGUGACGGUACUUGAGGAAUAAGCAUCGGCUAACUCCGUGCCAGCAGCCGCGGUAAUACGGAGGAUGCAAGCGUUAUCCGGAAUGAUUGGGCGUAAAGGGUCUGCAGGUGGAACUGAAAGUCUGCUGUUAAAGAGUUUGGCUUAACCAAAUAAAAGCGGUGGAAACUACAGAACUAGAGUGCGGUAGGGGCAAAAGGAAUUCCUGGUGUAGCGGUGAAAUGCGUAGAUAUCAGGAAGAACACCGGUGGCGAAAGCGUUUUGCUAGACCGUAACUGACACUGAGGGACGAAAGCUAGGGGAGCGAAUGGGAUUAGAUACCCCAGUAGUCCUAGCCGUAAACGAUGGAUACUAGGCGUGGCUUGUAUCGACCCGAGCCGUGCCGGAGCUAACGCGUUAAGUAUCCCGCCUGGGGAGUACGCACGCAAGUGUGAAACUCAAAGGAAUUGACGGGGGCCCGCACAAGCGGUGGAGUAUGUGGUUUAAUUCGAUGCAACGCGAAGAACCUUACCAAGACUUGACAUCCUGCGAAUCCCGGUGAAAGCUGGGAGUGCCUUAGGGAGCGCAGAGACAGGUGGUGCAUGGCUGUCGUCAGCUCGUGUCGUGAGAUGUUGGGUUAAGUCCCGCAACGAGCGCAACCCUCGUUUUUAGUUGCCAGCAUUAAGUUGGGCACUCUAGAGAGACUGCCGGUGACAAACCGGAGGAAGGUGAGGAUGACGUCAAGUCAGCAUGCCCCUUACGUCUUGGGCUACACACGUACUACAAUGCUACGGACAGAGGGCAGCGAGCCAGGGAUGGCAAGCGAAUCCAGAAACCGUAGCUCAGUUCAGAUCGAAGGCUGCAACUCGCCUUCGUGAAGGAGGAAUCGCUAGUAAUUGCAGGUCAGCAUACUGCAGUGAAUUCGUUCCCGGGCCUUGUACACACCGCCCGUCACACCAUGGAAGUUGGUCACGCCCGAAGUCAUUACCCCAACCGAAA